rnacentral:rRNA from 1 species
CCUACGGGGGGCAGCAGUGGGGAAUAUUGGACAAUGGGGGGAACCCUGAUCCAGCGACGCCGCGUGAGUGAAGAAGUAUUUCGGUAUGUAAAGCUCUAUCAGCAGGGAAGAAAGAAAUGACGGUACCUGACUAAGAAGCCCCGGCUAACUACGUGCCAGCAGCCGCGGUAAUACGUAGGGGGCAAGCGUUAUCCGGAUUUACUGGGUGUAAAGGGAGCGUAGACGGCGAUGCAAGUCUGAAGUGAAAGGCGGGGGCCCAACCUCCGGACUGCUUUGGAAACUGUAUGGCUGGAGUGCAGGAGAGGUAAGUGGAAUUCCUAGUGUAGCGGUGAAAUGCGUAGAGAUUAGGAGGAACACCAGUGGCGAAGGCGGCUUACUGGACUGUAACUGACGUUGAGGCUCGAAAGCGUGGGGAGCAAACAGGAUUAGAUACUCGUGUAGUC